UGAUGAGGUGAAACUAGAAGAGCCUUCAAGAGCAGGAAGUGCGACCGAAGAAACUAUUGAAAGAGUGAUAAAUGUCACUGGUGAUGGAAGCUUGAUGGAAAAUAUGAGUCAGGAAAUGCAAAUUCCUUCUGACAGUGUGGAAGCAAUAGACGACCAAGAAGGGGCAGAGAAAGGGGUGGACGUUGAUAGUCAUGUCUUGCAUGGAGUAGGAGAUACUGCUGAUAAAUCUGUUCCUAUGGAAGAGAAAGACACACUCGGAGAAAGCUCCAGGGAACCGGGUGACUGAAAAGAUGGAGGUGAAGAAGGAGACUGGAGUAUUGAACAUCAAGGAGAAGCUGGAGUCAAGGACUUCGUUGGUCAUGAAAGGGCAAAUGUGAGUGAGGAGUCUGGGCCUCAUAGGAGCAUGAAGAGCCACUGGACAUGGAGGCCAAGCCAGCCUCAAUGGACGUGAAGAGUGGGAAAGAGGACAAUGGAAGCAUUUUAAGGAGACAGAAACGAUUUGGGAGUGAAUGCUACAUAGAAGGAUACUGACUGUUUUCUGCUUAAAGAACUGUUUGAGAGCGCAAGGCCCUGGGUUCGGUCCCCAGCUCCGAAAAAAAGAACCAAAAAAAAAAAAAAAAAAAAAAAAGAACCGUUUGAGAAAAGGGUCUGGAGGUAGAGGUAGCUGGAUUUUGACAGACAUGGACAUGGUCAGGGCUACGAGAUGUAGGUGGUCAAAAACAGAUUAUAGCAGGAUAAAGGUUUGACAUCAAAGGCCGUGGAGAAGCAGCAAAGAAGGAGGUGCCUGAAGCAGACACCAGCAGAGGGGCUCCAGCUGGGAGAAGCGAAGAGGAAAGCAUCGACUGAAUAAAAGGUGAAGGAGAUGAGAGGCCGCACCCUGCCACAGCGCUUAGGUUUGUUGGUUUUUUGUUUUUUGUUUUUUAUUUAUUUAUUUUUUUUUUAGUUUUUUGAGAUAGGGUCUCUCUGUGUAGCCCUGGCUAUCCUGGAACUUGCUCUGUAGACCAGGCUAGCCUCCAACUCACUUGCCUCUGCCUCCUGAGUGCUGGAUUAAAGGCGUGCAUCGAAUUUUAAA
rnacentral:lncRNA from 1 species